GGCAGCACCGAGGCCAGAAACUGCACGUCUGGGGGUGACAGAGGCCCUCGUGGGCUGGAGCCAGCGCAGGCCGUGGGGACUCGUCGGGGCUGGGACCGCGUUUCAGGCGGACACUUUAGCCCCCAUGGGGACAGCUUGGCUGGGAAUGGAACCCAGAGAAGGCAGAGUAGAGAUGCCUCGGGGGCCUCGGAGGGCCAGCAAUCCACACAAGGAAGGAGCCACGCAUGCUGUUUCUGCCUCAAUAGCUUGAACCGUUCGCGGCACUUGUAAGCGAGGGGAGAGGGCAGGCGGGGUUCAGUCACACACCAAAAUGCGGCAGAGACGGGGCACCUGGGAGACUCAGUUGGUUAAGUGUCCAACUUUUGAUGUCAGCUCAGGUCAUGAUCUAUCAGGUUCUUGGGUUUGGACUCCAUGCUGACAGCACGGAACCUGACUGGGAUUCUCUGCCUCCCUCUGUCCCUCCCCUACUCAGCCCCACUCACUCAAAAUAAACACACUUGAAAAAAGAAAAGAGUGCCGUGGAGAAACCGAGGAGGGGGAGGACGGCACUGGCGCCGUGGGCUCCUGGGUGUAGGGGCCUGCGUGGGACACGACCGAGGUGCGGGCCACGUCUGAGGCCUGGGGUGUAGCAGUGCUGCUCCCUGAAUGUGCCCACCCACCGGGCCCAGACCAGGACAGGAGCCAGAGUGGAAUCUCAGUCUUUAAUGGCUGAGGGCCCCACACCCCACGGCCGGAGGCUGGGGCUCAGAUCUUGUUGAAAGCAGCAAUGUCCACACUCUGCACCUGAGGAGGAGGAGGGAGGCCCGCGGUCACGUGGGGCCUUGGUUCCCGAAGACCCAGCCAGCCACCCACUCCAGCACCCUGCCAGGCCAGGGGUUCCCUUGGGGGCCUGCCACUCACGUGCUCCUCGAACUUGGUGAUCUCCUCCUCCAGCAGGUCCGUCCCCACCUUGUCGUCCUCUACCACACACUGAAUCUGCAGCUUGCGGAUGCCAUAGCCCACGGGCACCAGCUUGGAGCCCCCCCAGGUCAGCCCGUCUAACUGGAUGGAGCGCACACAGGCCUCCAGCUGGGCCAUGUCUGUCUCGUCAUCCCACUGGGAGAUCAAGGGGUGGAGAGGCUGGGUCAGGAGGCUGCAGACCCCAGGGAGUGCCCCCCCCCCCCCACCGGCCCCUGCCCUCGCCCUCGCCCCCCAGGGCACAGAGGGCAGGCAGCUCUCCUCUCGGCUGAACCCGGCCAGCUCGCCGAGCCCACCGGGAGCCCGGGGCAGGGCCAGGGGCAGAGGCCGGGGGUGGGGUCACUCACAGGCUUGACGUCCAAGAGGAUGGAAGAUUUGGCCACCAGCGCGGGCCGCCCCGCCUUCUUCUCCGCGUACUGCCGCAGCCUCUCCUCACGAAGCCGGGCUGCCUCC